rnacentral:snRNA from 1 species
GACCUCUGUCACUUAUUAAAAUUGGAAUGAUACAGAGAAGAUUAACAUGACCCCUGCACAGUCAAAAAUGGAUAUUAAGAUAGUCACGCAAUUUGA